AAAUGGAGAGAAAAAAAAAAAAAAAAAAAAAAGCGAGCGAGAGAAUUAAAGGGUAAAAUCGGCCGCGGCAAUAGAAGCAGCAAUCACCUGGUCUCCGGGCUUUCCUAGAAACUCCUUGCAUCACCACUUCUAAGAACCCCAGUUCUAAGAAUCAACAGAGCCCAAUUCUCGGAAUUUGAGCUGCGGACUCUACCAUCGCGCUCGGCAUGGGGAGGGCCACGGACCUCCCCCCUCCGCUCCUUCCCCGGCGCCGCGCCCCUCCCGGUGUGCGCGCCCCGCCGGGGCUGCCGCCAACAGGGUGGGCGAGGUGGGGGCGCGCGUCCCGGGGGGGCCGCGGCGGCGGCGGGGGUCUCACGGUGUCGCCCCCCGUUCAUCCCCCUCCCCGUUCCCCCCUUUCAGCAGUGGUCGCGCCCGGCCGGCGGGUCACGUGGCGGCGGGUGCUGUCGGUGACGUGGGGGGCGCGCGGGCGCGGAGCAGCGCGCGCGGCGCGGAUCGAGCAGCGGCGGCGGCGGCGGCAACGACGGCGGCGGGAGAGGAAAACGGGGGGUCCCGGGCACGGCUCCGGGCGGUGCAAACACACAUCUCACCCCCCUGCCACCACCAGCCUCCGCUUCUGGUUUUUUGACCCUCAAGUGGUGGGUUAAUUCUGUGUAGCUGUUUUGUUAUUGUUGCAAAAUAACCUAUGUAGCACCCUGGAUGUAAAUCUCUGGAGAUUUCUGCGCCUGUCCCCCAGCCUCGCGUGUUUAUUUCCUGGGGCCCUGCAGCAAGGGUUGGCUUUAGGGGUGGUUCAGAUCGCUCAUUUUGCUUUCCCGGACGGGUUUUUGGGCUGCGAGCUGCCGGUCGCGGUGGUGGGGAGCGGGGGAAGGCACGCUCUGGGCUGUGAAGGCAUUCCCGGGCCCUGGUGAUUAAUAGAAAUUUGUUUACGAGAAUAACCACCGCAGGUCACGGUGCCCUCGGUCCACUGGUGCAGUUGCUCGGAGCUACUGAUUCCAGCCCUGGCGAGCCCACGGAGCGGCCGCCUUGGACGCAAAGUGCCCGGGUGCUGCCUUUAUUUUCAUUCUCAGCUGAGCUCUUGAACCGAAACAUUUUAAAGCAAGAAGGUUGGGCGGCGGGGAGGGGGGGUAAUAAAUUAGGAAGAAAGCC